rnacentral:rRNA from 1 species
GACGAACGCUGGCGGCGUGCUUAACACAUGCAAGUCGAGCGGUAAGGCCCUUUCGGGGGUACACGAGCGGCGAACGGGUGAGUAACACGUGGGUGACCUGCCCUCAGCUCUGGGAUAAGCCUGGGAAACUGGGUCUAAUACUGGAUAUGACUCCAUGACGCAUGUUGUGGGGUGGAAAGCCUUGUGCGGCUGAGGAUGGGCCCGCGGCCUAUCAGCUUGUUGGUGGGGUGAUGGCCUACCAAGGCGACGACGGGUAGCCGGCCUGAGAGGGCGACCGGCCACACUGGGACUGAGACACGGCCCAGACUCCUACGGGAGGCAGCAGUGGGGAAUCUUGCGCAAUGGGCGAAAGCCUGACGCAGCGACGCCGCGUGAGGGAUGACGGCCUCGGUGUAACGUAC